UACGGGGGGGGGCAAGCGUUGUUCGGAAUUACUGGGCGUAAAGGGUCAGUAGGCGGCCAACUAAGUCCGACGUGAAAUCCCCAGGCUUAACCUGGGAACUGCGUCGGAUACUGGAUGGCUUGAAUUCGGGAGAGGGAUGCAGAAUUCCAGGUGUAGCGGUGAAAUGCGUAGAUAUCUGGAGGAAUACCGGUGGCGAAGGCGGCAUCCUGGACCGACACUGACGCUGAGGCGCGAAAGCGUGGGGAGCAAACAGG
rnacentral:rRNA from 1 species